UAGAGUUUGACUUAUCCGACAGGAGAUGUGGGGAUUGGAGAUCCUAAAACUUUUUAUACUUUCCCGCCCCAACUCCUCGAUCUCACUGAUAAUGCUUGUCAACCACAUUUCCACAUGUUCAAGCCUUUCUUGCAUAAUUUUAAGCAUAUAAAGGUACUGUUAUUUAAGUCUGUAAAUGUGACAGGAGAUGUUCUUGACUUCUUCCUGCACAAUUGUCCUUUUCUUGAAGAAAUGGUGGUUCAAUCAUAUUCCUGGUAAAUUUGAAUGUCGUUGGUCCUUUCCUCAAGUUGAAACGCUUGGAGAUAUGGUACUGGCGUAUUACCACCGUGUAAAAUUACUUCAAAUCUGUGAUACAAACCUUGUAACACUUGUGACUUCAGCAGGCGACAAAUUAUUGCUUCGUAAUGUCCCGAUGCUGAUUGAGGUAGAAAUUGCGGGUUUCAUGUUCACACAUAUUUGGAUGAAAUAUUGCCUUGGAGUUGGGUUUCAUGUGUUCUCUCUCAGCUAGAGGUCCUCAAAAUACAUGCUUGUAAUGGAUUGGAGUACUUGGAGCAUUACAAAUUUCCUGAACUCACCAAGCUCAAGAAAUUUGUCGUAGAAGUUUUAGCAAAGGAAGACAUGAGUGUCUUAGGUUGCAUAAAUGUCAUAGGGGCGGCUCCACAGUUGAAGGAAUUUGAGUUGAAGUCGUUUUGGAGUAAUCCCACGAGGCGAGAAUGGGAGUGUGUGAAGACUGUAAGAUGUUCACUACAUCACCUCAAAGUGAUCACGUUUUUUCGGAUAUUUUUGAAGUAUCGGUGAACUUAAACUUGAACUCGUUAGGUAUUUUUUGGAAAAUGCUAUGGUGCUCGAGAAAAUCGUUGUUGAUCCUCGUAAUCAAUAUGACCUUGUCCCGUCGGAAUCAGAAGAAAUUGAGGAGCAAAUGACAGGAAAUUUUGCUAAGCUCCAGCUUGAAGGUGAAGUACCUUCGCCUAUUGAGUUGGUGAUACUGUGAAGGUUAAUUUAUGGAAAUAAUAAUAUGUUAAUUUUCAGUUAUUUGGACCCGUAUAUUUAAGAUUUAUGCUAGAGGGGAAAUGUGGUUUAAUAUAAUGAUUGUAUUCCUGAGGGAGCUUUAUGUAUGAUCUAAUUUAUAUUUCGAAAUUUGCUUAUUUUGACCUUAUGUAAUGUUUGUGUCAAGUCUAAUAACAAGAUUUAUGGUGCUGGCAAUUUUACAUACAA